ensembl:lncRNA
GUGGAAGAAGGAAAGAAGAAAGGAAAGAAAAUAAUAACUAGAAAAUGCAUUUCCUGAAGGAAAUACCAGUGCAUGAAAUGCAAAAGUUAAGAAAGGAAGAAGAAAAGAAAGAAGAGUGAAGAAGCAAAGAAGAAAGGAAAGAAGAGUAAAAGAAGGAAAGAAGAGUGGAAGAAAGUAAAGAAGAGUGGAAGAAGGAAGGAAGAGUGGAAGAAGGAAAGAAGAAAAGAAAGAAGAGUGAAAGAAAGGAAACAAGAGUGGAAGAAUGAAAGAAGAAAAGAAAGAAGGAAAGAAGAAAGGAAGAAGAGUGAAAGAAGGAAAAAAGAUUGGAAGAAGGAAAGAAGAGUGGAAGAAGGAAAGAAGAAAGGAAAGAAGAGUGAAGCUAGGAAAGAAGAGUGGAAGAAGGAAAGAAGAAAAGAAAGAAGGGAAAAAAGAAAGGAAGAAGGAAAGAAGAGUGGAAGAAGGAAAGAAGAAAGGAAAGAAGAGUGGAAGAAGGGAAGAAGAGUGGAAGAAGGAAAGAAGAGAGAGUGAAGAGGCAAAAUAUUGAAAGAAGGAGAGAAAAUGGAGUGAAUCAGAGAGAUGGAGUGUGAGAGAAAGUAGAGUGAGAGGGAUAGAGAGAAAGAUAGAGAGAAAAAAAAGUAGAGUAUGGAAUGUGUCUCUUAAUAUUCCUAGUUAUACAGUUGAAUGGAGAGGGACAGAGAGAAGAGGAGCCUUGGAACCUUGGCGCAGGUGUCAGUGAAGCACAGGUGCAAGCCAGUUUAAUGACCCCAUUAUGAUGUCAUAAUGGCCCAAUGUAAGUCAAUGGGAAAAUUUGUAUUCGUUUUUAUUUAAUAUCUUAAAAAGUAUAAAGUUUAGAAAAAUGAAAAAUACAUAGCAUAAGUGUCCUUUACAAGACCUACGCGCCAAAGUUUGAACGGAGUUUCUAAGUUAAGCGCUUCGAGCUGAAUUAAGCGCAGAAGUCGGUAAAAAGAAUAACUAGAAAAUGCAUUUCCUGAAGGAAAUACCAG